CCACCCUUUGUCUACUUGACCAUCGUUGCUUCGGCGAGCCCGUCCUCACGGACCGCCGGGGGGUCUUUGUACCCCUUGGCCCGCGCUCGUCGAUAGCCCCCAAAUUUAAAAAAUCUUAACUAAACGUGUCUUGAAUCUAAGUAUUAUUGUUAAAUAAAAACAAAACUUUCAACAACGGAUCUCUUGGUUCUGGCAUCGAUGAAGAACGCAGCGAAAUGCGAUAAGUAAUGCGAAUUGCAGAAUUCCAGUGAGUCAUCGAAUCUUUGAACGCACAUUGCGCCCUUUGGUAUUCCGAAGGGCAUGCCUGUUCGAGCGUCAUUAUCACCCCUCAAGCCCUCGGCUUGGUGUUGGACGGUUUGGUGGAGACCCCCCUCGGGUGGGCUUCUACCCCUCCCAAAGACAAUGACGGCGGCCUCGUUGGACCCCCGGUACACUGAGUUCUUCACGGGACACGUAUCGGACACAUGGGUUUACGGGACACGGUCUGCCUCCCCUCAGGGAGAAUCUUUUUUUAUCAAGGUUGACCUCGGAUCAGGUAGGGAUACCCGCUGAACUUAAGCAUAUCAA
rnacentral:rRNA from 1 species